GACGAACGCUGGCGGCGUGCCUAAUACAUGCAAGUAGAAUGCUGAAGGAGGAGCUUGCUUCUCUGGAUGAGUUGCGAACGGGUGAGUAACGCGUAGGUAACCUGCCUGGUAGCGGGGGAUAACUAUUGGAAACGAUAGCUAAUACCGCAUAAUAGCAGUUGUUGCAUGACAACUGUUUGAAAGGUGCAAUUGCACCACUACCAGAUGGACCUGCGUUGUAUUAGCUAGUUGGUGGGGUAACGGCUCACCAAGGCGACGAUACAUAGCCGACCUGAGAGGGGGAUCGGCCACACUGGGACUGAGACACGGCCCAGACUCCUACGGGAGGCAGCAGUAGGGAAUCUUCGGCAAUGGACGGAAGUCUGACCGAGCAACGCCGCGUGAGUGAAGAAGGUUUUCGGAUCGUAAAGCUCUGUUGUAAGAGAAGAACGAGUGUGAGAGUGGAAAGUUCACACUGUGACGGUAUCUUACCAGAAAGGGACGGCUAACUACGUG
rnacentral:rRNA from 1 species